rnacentral:rRNA from 1 species
UACGAAGGGGGCUAGCGUUGUCCGGAUUUAUUGGGCGUAAAGAGCGUGUAGGCGGCCAGGUAGGUCAGCUGUGAAAACUCGAGGCUCAACCUCGAGAUGUCGGCUGAAACCAUCUGGCUAGAGUCCGGAAGAGGAGAAUGGAAUUCCCGGUGUAGCGGUGAAAUGCGCAGAUAUCGGGAAGAACACCAGUGGCGAAGGCGGCUCACUGGACCGGUAUUGACGCUGAGGUGCGAAAGCGUGGGGAGCAAACAGG